GAGGAGAUAGCUUGCUAACUCCUGUUUCUAGCGGCGGACGGGUGAGUAACGCGUGAGCAACCUGCCUUUAUCAGGGGGAUAACGCAUCGAAAGAUGUGCUAAUACCGCGUAAGACCACAGCCUCACAUGGGGCAGGGGUCAAAGGAGGAAUCCGGAUAAAGAUGGGCUCGCGUCCGAUUAGCUAGUUGGUGAGAUAACAGCCCACCAAGGCGACGAUCGGUAGCCGACCUGAGAGGGUGAUCGGCCACAUUGGAACUGAGAGACGGUCCAGACUCCUACGGGAGGCAGCAGUGGGGAAUAUUGGGCAAUGGGCGAAAGCCUGACCCAGCAACGCCGCGUGAGGGAAGAAGGGUUUCGGCUCGUAAACCUCUGUCCUAUGGGACGAAGGAAGUGACGGUACCAUAGGAGGAAGCCCCGGCUAACUACGUGCCAGCAGCCGCGGUAAUACGUAGGGGGCGAGCGUUGUCCGGAAUGAUUGGGCGUAAAGGGCGCGUAGGCGGCCUGCUAAGUCUGAAGUGAAAGUCCUGCUUUCAAGGUGGGAAGUGCUUUGGAUACUGGUGGGCUGGAGUGCAGGAGAGGAAAGCGGAAUUACCGGUGUAGCGGUGAAAUGCGUAGAGAUCGGUAGGAACACCAGUGGCGAAGGCGGCUUUCUGGACUGAAACUGACGCUGAGGCGCGAAAGCGUGGGGAGCAAACAGGAUUAGAUACCCUGGUAGUCCACGCGGUAAACGAUGAAUGCUAGGUGUAGGAGGUAUCGACCCCUUCUGUGCCGCA
rnacentral:rRNA from 1 species